rnacentral:rRNA from 1 species
GAUGAACGCUGGCGGCGUGCCUAAUACAUGCAAGUCGAGCGAACGGACGAGAAGCUUGCUUCUCUGAUGUUAGCGGCGGACGGGUGAGUAACACGUGGAUAACCUACCUAUAAGACUGGGAUAACUUCGGGAAACCGGAGCUAAUACCGGAUAAUAUUUUGAACCGCAUGGUUCAAAAGUGAAAGACGGUCUUGCUGUCACUUAUAGAUGGAUCCGCGCUGCAUUAGCUAGUUGGUAAGGUAACGGCUUACCAAGGCAACGAUGCAUAGCCGACCUGAGAGGGUGAUCGGCCACACUGGAACUGAGACACGGUCCAGACUCCUACGGGAGGCAGCAGUAGGGAAUCUUCCGCAAUGGGCGAAAGCCUGACGGAGCAACGCCGCGUGAGUGAUGAAGGUCUUCGGAUCGUAAAACUCUGUUAUUAGGGAAGAACAUAUGUGUAAGUAACUGUGCACAUCUUGACGGUACCUAAUCAGAAAGCCACGGCUAACUACGUGCCAGCAGCCGCGGUAAUACGUAGGUGGCAAACGUUAUCCGGAAUUAUUGGGCGUAAAGCGCGCGUAAGCCGUUUUUUAAGUCUGAUGUGAAAGCCCACGGCUCAACCGUGGAGGGUCAUUGGAAACUGGAAAACUUGAGUGCAGAAGAGGAAAGUGGAAUUCCAUGUGUAGCGGUGAAAUGCGCAGAGAUAUGGAGGAACACCAGUGGCGAAGGCGACUUUCUGGUCUGUAACUGACGCUGAUGUGCGAAAGCGUGGGGAUCAAACAGGAUUAGAUACCCUGGUAGUCCACGCCGUAAACGAUGAGUGCUAAGUGUUAGGGGGUUUCCGCCCCUUAGUGCUGCAGCUAACGCAUUAAGCACUCCGCCUGGGGAGUACGACCGCAAGGUUGAAACUCAAAGGAAUUGACGGGGACCCGCACAAGCGGUGGAGCAUGUGGUUUAAUUCGAAGCAACGCGAAGAACCUUACCAAAUCUUGACAUCCUUUGACACCUCUAGAGAUAGAGCCUUCCCCUUCGGGGGACAAAGUGACAGGUGGUGCAUGGUUGUCGUCAGCUCGUGUCGUGAGUUGUUGGGUUAAGUCCCGCAACGAGCGCAACCCUUAAGCUUAGUUGCCAUCAUUAAGUUGGGCACUCUAAGUUGACUGCCGGUGGCAAACCGGAGGAAGGUGGGGAUGACGUCAAAUCAUCAUGCCCCUUAUGAUUUGGGCUACACACGUGCUACAAUGGACAAUACAAAGGGCAGCGAAACCGCGAGGUCAAGCAAAUCCCAUAAAGUUGUUCUCAGUUCGGAUUGUAGUCUGCAACUCGACUACAUGAAGCUGGAAUCGCUAGUAAUCGUAGAUCAGCAUGCUACGGUGAAUACGUUCCCGGGUCU